UUUCCUGCCAGAUCGGCUCUCGGUCUUUCCAUGACACAGAUUUCCAGCCUUUCUUAUCUGUUUUUACCUGCCUGGUGUAGACUACCCGCCCAUUUUUUGGAUUUUGCCCUUUUGCCUGCUCCUUUUGCUUGUUGCCUGGUUUAUCUGCCUGCCUGGUACCGACCACUGCCUACGCCCUGACUUCUCCUACUGUUUGUCCGUGCCUGCUUCUGCCUGCCGAGCCUUAAUUAAGAUAAAAUCAGUACAUCACUGUAGCCACCCUCGUGUAUAAUGCUGAAAAACCAAAACCUCAGCUUGAACCUCCACGUUUGCACCGAGACAAAGGAAGGGACUGACCUGAGAUCACCCUCCCGUUGGUGGCGAUGGCUGAGAUGGAGAGGGCGGUCACUGAGGUCACCGUCACAGACAUCAGGAUAAUGAGGCAGGUCCGCACUGAGAUAAAAAUGAAGAAGGGCGCAGAUCUCAUCCUCAGCUCAGGCUCACGACACCCUCUUCCUUCCCCCUCCCAAGAAGUCUCUGCACCUUUCCCCCUCCCGAGACAGCUCCUUCCAAGCUGACAGAAUUGUGCUGGCAGCCGCCAGUCGAACCCCCUGCAAGAUUUGUCGGCUCAAAACAAAAAUCGGGGCUUGGAGUGGAGGAAAUAGCCCGUCGCUUGAACCCAGCUGGGUUAAGGGCUGCUCUGGACUUUACGUACCAUGGAGAGGUGACUGUGUGACUUGAUCAACGAUGGGGGACAGUGUCUAGAAAUGUAGAGGUUGAGGCCAAGGCGCACAUCAACGUUGACGAGCACAGAGAAGGACAAGAGCUUUGUAGUCAUGUGGAGAGAGGGGUAGGGUGUGGUGUCACGUACUCAGAUAAGAGGCAACCCAGGAUGUUAUCUUGACUGUCCUCACCAGG